GUGGGGAAUUUUGGACAAUGGGCGCAAGCCUGAUCCAGCAAUGCCGCGUGCAGGAAGAAGGCCUUCGGGUUGUAAACUGCUCUUGUACGGAACGAAACGGCUCUGGUUAAUACCUGGGGCUAAUGACGGUACCGUAAGAAUAAGCACCGGCUAACUACGUGCCAGCAGCCGCGGUAAUACGUAGGGUGCAAGCGUUAAUCGGAAUUACUGGGCGUAAAGCGUGCGCAGGCGGUUGUGUAAGACAGGCGUGAAAUCCCCGGGCUCAACCUGGGAAUUGCGCUUAUGACUGCACGGCUGGAGUGCGGCAGAGGGGGAUGGAAUUCCGCGUGUAGCAGUGAAAUGCGUAGAUAUGCGGAGGAACACCGAUGGCGAAGGCAAUCCCCUGGGCCUGCACUGACGCUCAUGCACGAAAGCGUGGGGAGCAAACAGGAUUAGAUACCCUGGUAGUCCACGCCCUAAACGAUGUCAACUGGUUGUAUGGGUCUCUUCUGACUCAAUGACGAAGCUAACGCGUGAACGUUGACCGCCUGGGGAGUACGGCCGCAAGGUUGA
rnacentral:rRNA from 1 species